rnacentral:lncRNA from 1 species
CCGCCCUUCUCAAAGCCUUCAUCAACCUUAUCAUCUUCCCCAAGAACAAACCCAAUCUUCCUCCAGGCCCUGUAGCUUUUCCCGUCAUCGGCAACCUUCACUGGCUUCGCAAAUCUCUCACAGAAAUCGAACCAGUCCUCAGAGACCUUCAUUCCAAGCUCGGCCCGAUAGUCACGCUCCGUAUCGGCUCUCGCCCCAUCAUCUUCAUCGCCGAUCACUCACUUGCCUACAAGGCCUUGGUACAGAACGGCGCCGUCUUCGCCGACCGCCCUCAGGCUCUUCCCAUCAACAAAAUCGCUAGCAGCAACCAGCAUAACAUCAGCUCGGCUUUUUACGGCCCCACCUGGCGGGUCCUUCGCCGUAAUCUCACCGCAGAGAUCAUGCAUCCUUCGCGCCUGCGAUCUUACAGCCACGCCCGCAAGUGGGUUCUUGAAAUUCUCUUGGACCGGUUCAAGUCUCAGUCCAAAACCGGAGAUGAUCCGGUCAGCGUGGUUGACCAUUUUCAGUAUGCUAUGUUCUGCUUGUUAGUGCUCAUGUGUUUUGGGGACAAGCUUGACCACAACCAAAUCAAAGAGAUUAAGAAUAUUCACCACUCCAGGUUGCUAGCGUUUAGCCGAUUCCGAAUUCUAAAUUUUUGGCCAAGGUUAACAAAAAUUGUUCUCCGUAAAAAGUGGGCACAGUUCUUGCAGUUGCUUAAAGAUCAAGAAAAUUUAUUAGUCCCACUGAUAAGAGCAAGAAAGAAGAUGAAGGAAGAGAGGCUAAUGAAUAAAGGUAAAGAAAAUGUGUUGUGUUAUGUCGAUACUCUGUUAGAUUUGCAGCUUCCGGAAGAAGAGAAGAAGAGGAAGCUCAGCGAAGAGGAAAUUGUAGCUCUGUGCUCAGAAUUUCUUAACGCCGGCACAGACACCACGUCCACGACACUGCAGUGGAUCAUGGCUAAUUUGGUGAAAUACCCACAUGUUCAAGAGAAGCUUUAUACGGAGAUCAAAGGAGUUGUUGGAAAUGGAGAGGAAGAAGAAGUGAAAGAAGAAGACUUGAACAAGAUGCCGUAUCUGAAAGCAGUGAUCUUGGAGGGACUAAGAAGGCAUCCUCCAGGGCACUUUGUGCUGCCGCAUGCCGUGACAGAGGAUUUCACAUUGGAUGGACACGUGAUACCGAAAGAUGCAAGCGUCAAUUUCAUGGUAGCCGAAAUGGGUCGGGACCCGAAGGUUUGGGAGGAUCCGAUGGCAUUCAAGCCUGAGAGGUUCGUCAGGGAUGAAAGCGGUGGAAGAGUAGCUGUGGUUGAAGAUUUGGAUAUAACAGGGAGUAGGGAAAUUAAGAUGAUGCCGUUUGGUGUUGGGAGGAGGAUUUGUCCGGGGCUUGGUUUGGCUAUGCUUCACUUGGAAUAUUUUGUGGCUAAUUUGGUUUGGUGCUUUGAGUGGAAGGCUGCGGAUGGAUAUGAAGUUGAUUUUUCGGAGAAGCAGGAGUUCACUACUGUGAUGAAAAAUCCAUUACGGGCUCGUAUUUCUCCAAGAAUUAGCCAACAGAAUUUCCCUAAGUUUAUUUCGAAAUAAGCUGUACUCCUUAAUUGGUGAUAAAUUUUACAACCGUACGAGGUGUUAACCAAUAGGCGAGUGGGUGGUCAAAUCUAUGAAUUUGACCAAGGUAAUGGAUACCCAAUAUUACUAAUUCAUCUCCUCGUUUCGUGGACAGGAUUUAGGAUAUGUAUGUCAAUUUUUCCAAAGUUUAGAUACGAAAGCGGAUGCGUAUGUUUUGUUUUCACAUGUUUGAUGUGAUUUAGAUUAAUUUCCCGUCACGGCUUUGGAAGCACAGAUAGUUUAUCUUUUAGCUUAACCAUAAAAAAUUUUAUAAAAAAAAAUUAUUUUGUUCACCACUAGAAAAUCAGAAACGACGGAUCAUUCAGUCACCGUCGUUGCGUAUUUCCAACUCUAAUAAAUGAAAGAAAAGAAAAACAUUUUCCUUAUCUUGUUUGUUUGCUAACUUACGUAAGCCAUUACGACUCACCCCUUAAAUUUAAAUUAAAGAAAUUGAUUUAAAAAACGAAUUGAUUUUGUUUCUCCUUAAGUUUUCCUAAACAUAUAAUUUUUUUUGUUAUUUUAAUAGGCAGUUGGGACAUACAUUGCUCUUCAUCGACACUCCAUUUGUUUAAAAACUCCUACCAACUCGGAAAUCCUAAUUAAUUAAUCCUUGAUUCCCUGAAAAACAUAUCAGUGCUAAAUGAUUUAUUAUUAUCAUUUUAGUUAUUACAGAAUUAUUUCCAUAUUCUGUCAUUAAAUAUAAGUAUUUUUACUAUAUACAUAUGUUUACACAUUUUAAACAAUUAUUGAUAUAGAUACUCAUGUGGAAGGAAAAGUUGUGGAUAAAUAUACAUAUAUAGCAAAAGGGUAAUAAUAGAUAUCUCAAACUAUAUGGAAUGUGAUAUUUUAUUUAUUAAGCAGUUUAUGUUUUUCAUCAAUUUUAAGUGAAUUAAUUAGAUAAUUUUUUUGUAAUUUUUUUGAGUUAAAAUUUUGAGAUGAUACUGUGAUGAAAAAUCCAUUACGGGCUCGUAUUUCUCCAAGAAUUAGCCAACAGAAUUUCCCUAAGUUUAUUUCGAAAUAAGCUGUACUCCUUAAUUGGUGAUAAAUUUUACAACCGUACGAGGUGUUAACCAAUAGGCGAGUGGGUGGUCAAAUCUAUGAAUUUGACCAAGGUAAUGGAUACCCAAUAUUACUAAUUCAUCUCCUCGUUUCGUGGACAGGAUUUAGGAUAUGUAUGUCAAUUUUUCCAAAGUUUAGAUACGAAAGCGGAUGCGUAUGUUUUGUUUUCACAUGUUUGAUGUGAUUUAGAUUAAUUUCCCGUCACGGCUUUGGAAGCACAGAUAGUUUAUCUUUUAGCUUAACCAUAAAAAAUUUUAUAAAAAAAAAUUAUUUUGUUCACCACUAGAAAAUCAGAAACGACGGAUCAUUCAGUCACCGUCGUUGCGUAUUUCCAACUCUAAUAAAUGAAAGAAAAGAAAAACAUUUUCCUUAUCUUGUUUGUUUGCUAACUUACGUAAGCCAUUACGACUCACCCCUUAAAUUUAAAUUAAAGAAAUUGAUUUAAAAAACGAAUUGAUUUUGUUUCUCCUUAAGUUUUCCUAAACAUAUAAUUUUUUUUGUUAUUUUAAUAGGCAGUUGGGACAUACAUUGCUCUUCAUCGACACUCCAUUUGUUUAAAAACUCCUACCAACUCGGAAAUCCUAAUUAAUUAAUCCUUGAUUCCCUGAAAAACAUAUCAGUGCUAAAUGAUUUAUUAUUAUCAUUUUAGUUAUUACAGAAUUAUUUCCAUAUUCUGUCAUUAAAUAUAAGUAUUUUUACUAUAUACAUAUGUUUACACAUUUUAAACAAUUAUUGAUAUAGAUACUCAUGUGGAAGGAAAAGUUGUGGAUAAAUAUACAUAUAUAGCAAAAGGGUAAUAAUAGAUAUCUCAAACUAUAUGGAAUGUGAUAUUUUAUUUAUUAAGCAGUUUAUGUUUUUCAUCAAUUUUAAGUGAAUUAAUUAGAUAAUUUUUUUGUAAUUUUUUUGAGUUAAAAUUUUGAGAUGACAAAUGCUAUGUUACAAUUAAUGUAACAUACACAUUCAACAACAACCACACAAAUUAUAUGAAUCCAUCAUUUAUGUGGUUGUUGUUGAGUGUGUAUGUUACAUUGUAAGAUAGGGCUCCCUUUUGAGAUAUGUAGCAAUUGGCAGACCACAGACAUGACCAAAAAUAUCUUGGGACAAUCACAUUCAAAAUAAUUCAAGAUUGGCUUAUAUAAACACGAACGCUUUCGAAAACGACACACCGCCAGUUGCUUGCUAUCCACGGAAUAUUAAUUAUUAAUAUUCCUCACACCGUUUACUCUUUUUUGACUUAUCAAUUUGCAGAAAUGGAAUUCUGGUUCAUCAUCCUAAUCUCAAUCUCCAUUGCUGCCCUUCUCAAAGCUUUCAUCAGCGUUAUCAUCUCCCCCAAAUACAAAACCAAUCUUCCUCCAGGCCCCUUUAAUCUCCCCGUCAUCGGCAACCUCCAGUGGCUUCUUAAAUCUUUCUCCGAAAUCGAACCAAUCCUCAGAAACCUUCACUCCAAGCUUGGCCCCGUCGUCACGCUCUUUAUCGGCCCUCGCCCGGCUAUCUUUAUCGCCGAUCGCUCACUGGCCCACAAGGCCUUGGUCCAAAACGGCGCCAUCUUUGCUGACAGACCCCGGCCUCUUCCCACAAACAAAAUCGUCAGCAGCAACCAGCAUAACAUCAGCUCUGCUUCUUAUGGCACAACGUGGCGGCUCUUCCGCCGUAAUCUCUCAGCAGAGAUCCUCCAUCCCUCUCGUGUGAAAUCCUACAAGCACGCCCGCAAAUGGGUUCUUGAAAUUCUCUUGAAUCGUUUAAAGUCAGAGUCCAAAAAUGAGGACCGCCCUGUCCCUGUUCGUGUUCUUGAUCAUUUCCAAUACGCCAUGUUUUGCUUGUUGGUGCUCAUGUGUUUCGGAGACAAGCUUGAUGAAUCCCAAAUCAAAAAAAUUGAGAACGUUCAGCGCACACAGCUGUUGACUUUUGGGAAUUUCAAUAUAUUGAAUUUCUGGCCAAGAUUAUCAAAAAUUGUUUUUGUUAAGAAGUGGGAGCAGUUCUUGCAGAUUCGUAGAGAUCAAGAAAACGUAUUGGUUCCUUUGAUAAGAGCAAGAAAGAAGAUGAAAGAAGAAGAGAGCCUCAGCAUUAAGGAGAGGGAGUAUGUGUUAUCGUAUGUGGAUACUCUGUUAGAUUUACAGCUUCCUGAAGAGAAAAGAAAGCUUAGCGAAGAGGAAAUUGUGAGUUUGUGUUCAGAAUUUCUCAACGCGGGCACUGACACUACCUCCACGGCGCUACAGUGGAUCAUGGCCAAUCUGGUGAAGCACCCGCACGUUCAAGAGACGGUUUAUACGGAAAUCAGAGGAGUUGUUGGUGAAAAUGAAGAGGUGAAAGAGGAGGAGUUGCAGAAGAUGCCGUAUCUGAAAGCAGUGAUUUUAGAGGGACUGAGGAGGCACCCGCCUGGGCAUUUCGUGUUGCCACAUGCCGUGACAGAGGAUUUCGUUCUUGAUGAUAAGUAUGUGAUACCAAAGGACGGGAGUGUGAAUUUCAUGGUGGCCGAAAUGGGUUGGGAUCCGAAAGUUUGGGAGGAUCCGAUGGGGUUUAAGCCCGAGAGGUUUUUGAAUGAUCAUGAUCAAGAUUUUGACAUAACGGGGAGUAGGGAAAUUAAGAUGAUGCCAUUUGGAGCUGGCAGGAGAAUCUGUCCCGGUUUUGGUUUGGCUAUGCUUCAUUUGGAGUAUUUUGUGGCUAAUUUGGUUUGGAAUUUUGAGUGGACGGCUGUGGAUGGUGAUGAGGUUGAUUUGACUGAGAAGCAAGAGUUUACCGUUGUGAUGAAGAAUCCAUUGCAGGCUCUUCUUUCUCCUAGAACUAGAUAAGAACAUAACUCACCUGAUUAUUAUUAUUAGUAUUAUUAUGCAUUUAAAAAUUAAGUAAGACUUCUAUAUUAAUAUUGGCAUAAUUAUAUGUACCAUCGUUCUGUUUGUGGUAAUUUUGUCAUCUCCUAUGGAAAUCUAAUGGUUGGUAGGCCUUGGCCAAAUCAACUUAGAGGAAGGCAUCUGACCAAGCUUACCAUCGCUUUAUAGACUUUAAAUAAAGGAAAAUGCUAGGUAGCGAGAGGAACGAGAGAAUGAUGAGAGAAACGGCAGCAGUUGCUGCCGUCUGCUGCCGUUUCGCUUCUCGUUCUUCUUGCUUGUUAAUACAUUAAAAAAAUAAAAAGAAUGAAUAAAGAAUUCAUAAAGAAAUGGGUGCGUGCAUAGAGAAAUCCAACCUUAUCUACCAUAUCUCCAGCCUACUUUCCUCUCUCCCUCACGCUCCUCUCUCACGACAAAUCCCUAAAGCAUCAAUUGUCUUAACUUCUAUUUUAACGACUUUGAAUUGUAGACCAAAUUGAAUAUUUUAUGGACAAAAUCACUUCCAUACUCAGAAAGAAGAAACAUCAUUUCUUGUUUUAUUCACUUUGCUGCAGGGGCCCAAGUACAGAGUUCCUCUGUUUUUGUUUAUCUGCAUUCCAGAUUUGCGCAUCCACAUGCACCUGUGACAUCUCCAAACUCCCUUUUGUUAUAUUUCCUUUAAUGUUCUUAAAAUCCUUGAUUUCAUUGUUAAAUAAAGUGAAGUCAUUUUUUGGGUUUGUAGAAGUUUAGAUGAUCCUGAGUGUGUUAGAGCAAUUUGGUAUUCGGAGAAGGAAGAUAAGGAAUCAUUUUGGAAUAAAUCAACAGUAGUAGAGGCUACAUAUAUAAAUAUAGUACGUAUAUAGGAAUUGAGCAAAAUAUUUCUGCUAUGAAGUUUUAUAAUACUUCGAUUAACAACAUCGCAUAUACAUCACAAAUGAGUCACAAACAUAUUUUAAAGCUGAUUGGAUGCAGUUUAGAGACUCAAACUGCCGUUCCGUGGAGUAUGGGACUCUGGCUGGAGAGAGAGGAAAGUGAAAGCAUGCGUGAGGAAGGAAAGUGAAAGCCUGCGUGAUUUCAUGCGCCAUUUCUUUAUUCAAAAAUUUUAAAUUUUUUAAUGUUUUAAUGAGCGAGAGGAACGAGCGGCGAAACGGCAGCAACUGCUGCCGUUUCUCUUAUCAUUCUCUCGUCCCUCUCGCUACCUAGCAGCACUCUUAAAUAAAAGCCUCGUAAGUAGACUCUCACGUUUUCUUUAUGUUUUUACAGUAAAGAACAUCAUCACCGAAGUGGAAGAAAGGACCAACUAAUUAAAAGAACAUUGAAAUUCUAUUGAUAUUUAUAAUAAAUAAAAAAACCUACAGACACUAUUUUUGUUAGCCCAAUAUGACACAGCUUGAAUUUAUAUCACCACAUAAUAUAGGUAUUCAAUUCUCAGAGGAGGAAUUUUACGCCUACCCAAUCUAAUUAGGAGAGAAUCAAGUCCCAACUAUUAUCAGGGCUCAAACCAAUAUUUGAGUGCAUGGGUUGUGUCAACGGGCUACCACCUCAUUGUCCCAUCUUGUUACUGAUACAAGCGAUUUAUUUGAUGCGCCCGUAAUAUUGAUAAUAGUUUGUAACUAUAUAAGCAAUAAGCAAUCCUUAAAUUAGUUCCCACCUUAACAUCAACGGUUUUUCCCUCGAAGGCCUCAUCACCAGCCUGAUCUGGUCCAUUUGCUGGUGCCAAAAACUCUUGCAUCAAUAUGGACUGCACCACAAAAACUGUCAACUCAAAGGGCCGAUAAUCAAAAGUGAAGCCCUUUAUCUUUAUCAUACUCCCACCGUUAUAUAGCCAAUAAUCAAAAGUGAGAAUAACACAUGUUGCUUCAAUGAUUGAAGUUAAACAUCAAAUAUUAUCUUUCAUGUUAAAAAGUAAACAUAAAAAAAUAUAUAUAUGUAUUUUGACUUAUAAACAUGACAUUUCAAUUGACAUUCAUAUGUGUUAAAACUGUUGGGGAAAAAUUAGGUUUUUAAAUUUUUAUAAAACUUUUUGAAGAUCGCUCUCAUAUAAUAUAUAAGAAUUUGUAUUCUAGAAAUCGUACCUUGAAAAUCCGAGUUGGCUUUUUCUGCUGAAGUGUUUUAGGCUCCUAAAUCACGAUCCGCCACCACCACUCCUGUUAGAUCACGAUCCGUCACCACCACGCUUGUUAGAUCACGAACAGUCUCCAAUGAUCUUCCAGGUUAUGACUCAGGUUCGAUCUGCACUUGACGUGUGGGCGCCUUUAUCACUACCAAAGCAACUAGCACGAGAACAUUUUUCUCUCAACAAUAGAGAGAAAAAUCUUUUUCUCUGAUCUGUAUAAAGUGGCUUCUUCUUUUUUCUUUAGGGAAAAAUAAGCCUUUUAUAUCACCCUUUAGUGAAAACCCUAGGCUCCAAAUAAUACCCUAAAUAAAACUCACGUUAUUUUCUUUUUCAAUAGGGGACCCACCUUGUAAAAUAACAUAAGGCCCCUUACACANNNNNNNNNNNNNNNNNNNNNNNNNNNNNNNNNNNNNNNNNNNNNNNNNNNNNNNNNNNNNNNNNNNNNNNNNNNNNNNNNNNNNNNNNNNNNNNNNNNNNNNNNNNNNNNNNNNNNNNNNNNNNNNNNNNNNNNNNNNNNNNNNNNNNNNNNNNNNNNNNNNNNNNNNNNNNNNNNNNNNNNNNNNNNNNNNNNNNNNNNNNNNNNNNNNNNNNNNNNNNNNNNNNNNNNNNNNNNNNNNNNNNNNNNNNNNNNNNNNNNNNNNNNNNNNNNNNNNNNNNNNNNNNNNNNNNNNNNNNNNNNNNNNNNNNNNNNNNNNNNNNNNNNNNNNNNNNNNNNNNNNNNNNNNNNNNNNNNNNNNNNNNNNNNNNNNNNNNNNNNNNNNNNNNNNNNNNUUCUGGGGGCUUCUUUUUCAAUAAAGCCGAGAGAUGAUGAGUGUGAUGGUCCACAUGUGGGAGGAAAUCACGGAUGUAAUUGAUAAUGCCGAGAAACCUGCUGUACCGUACAUCCGCCUUGGCCGUACAGCAGCUGUUCAAUGUAGUCGUACUACAUCAAUAAAUUCAUACAUGAUUAAGACAAAUCAUUUAAUGAAUUUAUUACAGUCUAUACCUAAAUAAAGUGCCAAGCUUUAUUUAUCAACUGCGAACUAAAUUUAUUUAAUCAUAAGAUAACUUGUAUUUAUGUCUUCUGUGAAUCCACAUGGUGAUCACAUAAAUACAUAUAAUAUGAUUAAAUGGACUUUAAUACAAGUAUUAAUGCAAUUAAGAUAUUUGAAUAAAAUACCUCAUUUAUUUUAUUAAUCAGAAAAAUAGUUUAUUACAAUUAAAUAAACACAUAUGCUUUUAAAGAGCAUAUUUUCCCAACAAAAACAUGUCAAAUUUUUAAGGACUAUCAAUUUGUAUGUUAAAAGUUUACAUUUACUCUUUAAAGAGAAUUUCUAUUAAAAUUUUAAUUUCAAUAAUAAAAUGAAGUAUUAAAAAUUUCAACGAACUUAAUUAGUUAAAAAAUUGUUAUAAGGAAUAAAUAAAUAUACAACACACACUUUACCACACUUUACCCCACCAAAAUUUUCUAUAACAAUUGCUUUUCUCCACUUAAUAUUUUAGUUUUUAUCAUUUUACCCUCAAACCGUUAAAGUUAACAUAAUUUUUAAUAGAAAUUAUAGUACAAGUCUAGUUUAUUCCUAAACUGGAGUAUAAUUUAACCAUCUAAACAAUACUUUUAUCAAUUGAUUAUUUUAUAUAUCUCAAAUAAUUAAUUGAUAAAAUUGUAGAUAUUAUAAUUCUUAAAAUACUGACUAUACUGAAAUUCUUAAAAUACUGCUGUGACAUCAGCAUUUUAUUAAUGGAGUUAAUGUUUUGGUGAUAAAUUGAUAAAAAUGAAACAUUAAGUGUGAAAAAUUAAUUGUUAGAAAACGUUGGUAAUAAAAUGAUAUGUCAGAAAAUAUUAGGCCACAUGUAAAAUGAUAAUAUCCCAAAAAAAAAUUAAAAAUUACUAAACAUUUGUUCAGGGGCUAUUCGUCAUUUCCACUAGUUAUCACUUCAUAUUAUUACCUAAGUGGUGACGUUAUAGAAUGGAGGAGACAAUCGACAAACAACAAAGAACAAGAAAGCAUCAAAAUAGAUGACUUGUAUAUAUAUAUAUGUACACACAUAUAUAUAGUUGUAGUUUGGAUUUGCUGAUAAAACGCAACUAACCACUAAUUUUGGUGUUCAUAAAAUACAAGAACUCGAGGUGUCACGAAUACGAUCUAUAGAUAAUUUUUUUUUCUUUUUUAACGUGUGAAUUACACAAGUUUCUACCAGUAGGCAGCAGACAUCAUUGUUUUUUUUUUUUUAACAUGCAUGAUGCACGUAUUAGAACCAAAAAAGAAAAAAAAAUAGUAAAAUGAUUAAUGUUCUUCUUUUGGACACACGCAUAAUUAUUCUGAAUUUGAUGAUAAUAUAUAUAUAUAUAUAGAGAGAGAGAGAGAGAGGAAAGGAAAGUCAAAACACUUGGCAUGUAUUGAUUGAAUGAUUCACCAUGUAAAUUUUUUACCCCUUCUGUAUAUAUUGCUUUCCUUUCAUCCGUGGAUAAGGAUGACACGUUUGAUAAUUUUUUUUUUCACUCAAUAAUAUGAGAAAUUUUAAAAUACAUCUGAGGUACAAUUUUAACUAUACAAUAAAUAAAUAGUAUUAUAAUAUGUGUGUAUUUAUUUUAAAAAAUUAUGUUACAAAUGAUAAUUGUAUUAAAUUCAACUACACAUAUCAUAUAUAUAUAUCAAUUAAUUAUAAUACAUUAAAAAUAUUGUAGAAUUUCUCCAAUAAUAUUGGGAUACCGAGUGUUUUGAUCUACUGCAAAAUUAAAUGAUUAAGUUAGUUGUAGCUGUGAAGGUGGGAUGAUGUGCCAAGUCAAAGCGAUAUUAAUAUCAGUGUUACAACGACCUUAUUGAUAGCUAACAUUUUCAAACAAGUUGGAAGACUAAUUAAUAUAAGUCACAUAUUUUUUUUUUCACUGAUAAGUCAAAUAUUGUUAAAUACUUCGAAUAGAAGUGUAUUUAUUAGUCAAUGUAUACUAUACCAUGCAAAGUAAUAUUAUUAAAAGAAAAAAAAAAGAUAGAAGAAGAGGAAGAAGCAAGAUUAAAACACCAAAAUUUAUUAUCACUACUCCGGUAAAUUACCCCAGCUGCUGAAGUGACAUAAAUGUAGGCCUCAUACUAUAAUGGGAUAUUAAGAUAAAUUAUCACUUUCUAAACAUAGUGAAAUACUUGUGCAGGAUGGGUGCUUUAAUGAAUUUUUUUUUUUAAUACAUGAGAUUAUUACUCAAGAGUACAACUCAUAUUAUAUGAGAUUACAAUUGAUAUUUAUAAAUCAGACUAUUACUGAAAUUAGUUUACAUCAAUUUACUAUUACUGGGACUAGUUUACAUUAAUUUUUAUGAAGCGCCGCUUAGAUUUUUUACCCUCUCUAAUAUUCGAGGGACGUCUGCUCCACUCACAUUUCGAAAAAGAAGAAGACGGUCUUUACUUAAAGACAGUGUCAUGACCCAACCUAGACCUGGCAAGAUAUUGUCCGCUUUGAGCCUUAACAAGGCCCGCACUGUUUUGUUCCUAGGGUAGCCAUACACCCCAAAAUGCGUCUUGUCAAUUAAGGUAUAGAUCACCCCUUAUAAAUCCAGAAUCUCUGCCGAUGUGGGAUAUGCCUAGGGUGUUACAUACACCCUACUUAGGAACUCAGCAUCCUCGCUGAGAUUUGUCCCACCAUCGCUCAAGAGAACACGCGGAGCCGCUCUAAUACCAUAAUGUCAUGACCCAACCUAGACUUAGCAAGAUAUUGUCCGUUUUGAGUCUUAACAAGACCUGCACGGUUUUGUUCCCGGGACGCCUAUACACCCUAAAACGCUUCUUGCCAAUUAAUGUAUGAAUCAUCUCUUAUAACCUUAUCAUCUCUCCCGUGCUUUGCCAAUGUGGGAUUUGCUUAGGGUGUUACACUGAGAAAGUAAAUUAAACCCCCACAAUUAAUGAAGAUUUUAAACCUUUCAAAUAUCAAGUUAUUUUAGUGAUGCGUCUGCUAUUUUGUGGGGGUUUAAUUUUCUUCCUCAAUUUGAGCGAAGACAACAUUAUGAUUUUAAUUGCCUAUAUUAUGAUUUCUUGAAUAUAACAUUCUUUGGGAAGACAACAUUUUUAUAAUACAAUAUUGAAAAUUUUCGCUAGGCAACGUAAGUUAACACUCAUUCAUUUAUUGUCUAAAUCUUGAAUUCACAGCCUUCCUAAUAAAAGACAGUAAUAAUUAAACAUAUACCAUCACAAUCAAACCUAAACACUAUUUUUUCUUCUUUGUCCUCUUACAUAUAUCUUCUACUAUUUAAACCAUCACAAUUCAACGUAAGCUAAAAUAUAGGAACUAAACGAGUUUUACCUAGUAUUUUAGAGCAAGGGAUAAGAGAAGGCAUGUUAAUAAUUUUAUUAUGGCUGUUAAAGCUACAAUAUAAAGUCUCUUUACUCAUCUGACUAUCAAUUACUUUCCAAGCUUUCCAUAAUUUUAUGAAGUUAUCAAAUAUUGGUCAUAUUUUCUGAAUAUAUGUGUGUUGUGUAUUCGCUGUACACAUACCUAUGCACAUCCAACUUUUGCAUCAUUCGAGUUUCACAAUUGAUGUUAUCAAAGCCAUACGUGUAAAUUUGUUCAUAAAUAAUAGUUGUUAAUAUAAAACACCGAAAUCCUAAGGUUACGUUGCUAUGCAGAGAACAUUAAUUAAAACCAUGAACUACGAUUUUGAUGAAACCGGCUUACUUUUAUUAAUGAAUACACACCCUUAUUUAUAUACCUGUGCUAUGAUUACAUGCUGUAACAUUUCUUCACCUAUGGCCUUUAUUAAAAGAUUAUCAAAGCAAACUAAUAUCUAUUCACUGCGCAGUCCAAUCCUCCAUUAUUUCAUUUGAUGUCUGGCCUUGGAUUGUCAAAACCUGCUUCUAGAUUCUUUAAGGGCUUUCAUUCUUAUCCUUUGGUGGUUCUACAUGUGCUCUAGAUUUCAAAUUAUGACUUCCCGCUAACUGGCUCUUCACUCUGGCAUUUCGUCGAACAGUUUGUUAUUUAUGACAAACACCUUGUUUUGACUAAAAUUUAUUUGGCAACUUAGCUCAUCAAAGGAUGAGCUAAUGAACAUGUGUCAGCACUGUACAAAUCUAAUAAACAGUUUUAUUACCUUCUGGUAGUGUAAAAUCAAAAUAAUUUUCAGCAAUUGAAAAUUAGAGAUGAUGAGGUGGACAUUUAUUUUGCUAUUUUUUGUAUUUAUUCAUUAUUUGAAAAAUAUUUCUAGAAUUUAACGAAAAUAAAAACAUACACUAAUUUUUUUUUUUAAUACUGAUUACAUAUUAUAGCAGAUAUUUACAAAUGCUAUUAUAGCAGACAUUAUACUGAUAUUUAUAGUAAGAUAUACAUAACCGAGACUUACAUUAUUAGAUUAAAUUUUAUGAAAUACAUAUCCAGACAAAUAACCCUCACAGACGAGGGAUGUCACUACUCCACUCGCAUUUCACAAGGGAGAAUGACUUACAAAUAUUAUAGCCCCCACAAUACUUUUGUGGGGGCUUGUGAGGGCAGCAACUCAACCACUCGGCCAAAGGCUGAGUGACAAACAUACACCAAUCCAAAAAGCAUAACAUACAAGAUUUUCUUUGCUAUUUGAUAAAGGGUGGGGCUAACCCACCAAAUUCCUCUCUACACCCAUUUUAUUAAAAAUUUUAAAGUUACCUUCACUAAUCUCUUUCUCUCUCUAUCUUAUAAUUGUGUAUUCUCUUUCUACUCUCAUAUUUUGUAAAUUAGAAACUCAAUUUUAUUUUAUUUUUUGAAUUCAUUUUUUGGUAUUUCUAAUUAUAUCAUAAUCUUUAUUUCAUGCUUUUUGUAUAUAAGAAUUUUAUUAUUGAUUUUCAUUUGCUUUUGUGUCUGAUAAAAAUUAAUUUUUAUAUUCAUUAACUUUUAGAACUAAAUUGAUGAGAAUUUAUGAAAUUGAGAAGAGAAAAAGAAGAAACGUUAAUUAAGUAAUUUUUAAGAAAAUUAUUUAUAUAAUAAAACUCUUAAUUAAAAAGAUGAUGUAGAAAAUAAAUUAGUGGGUUCAAAUAGUCUUAUCCUUUAAUUAAAUAAACUAAUUUUAAAUUGAUAUUUAUGAUAUUUCCAAACCGUUAUUGACUGUCAGUAAUUAAUUUAAUAAACCAAAUACCAAUUAAGUAGUUAGAAUCUACAAAUAUAUUAUAAGGUUUACGAGAUUCUAAACUUAUUAUAAUAUAGUUUAAAUAUAUAAGUAGAAUUGGAAAAUGUACUUCUAGUUCUACUAAUCAUAUUUAAAAAGAAAUACAUAAAACAAAAAAAAAAAUUGUAAAAACCAGUAUAGAGUCUCGAAUUGGUGCACUCAGUAUAUUAAUGGCAGAUUGGCAGUAUGGCACCCACCUAAAACUAACUCCUGUCGACUUGGAAAUCCUAAUUAAUUAAUCCUUGAUUCCUUGAAAAACAUAUCAGUGCUAAAUGAUUUAGUGUUAUCAUUCUAGUUAUUACAGAAUUAUUUCCAUAUUCUGUCAUUAAAUAUAAGUAUUUUUACUAUAUGCAUAUGUUUACACAUUUUAAACAAUUAUUGAUAUAGAUAAUCAUAUGGAAGGAAAAGUUGUGGAUAUAUAUAUAUAGUAAAAAGGUAAUAAUAGAUAUCUCAAACUAUAUGGCAUUUAAUAUUUUAUUUAUUAAGUAGUUUCUGUUUUUCAUCAAUUAUAAGUUAAUUAAUUAGAUAAUUUUUUUGAGUUAAAAUUUUGAGAUAUGUAGCAAUUGGCAGACCAGAGACAUGACCAAAAAUAUCUUGGGACAAUCACAUUCAAAAUAAUUCAUUGAGAUAUGUAGCAAUUGGUAGACCAGAGACAUGACCAAAAAUAUAUUGGGAUAAUCACAGUCAAAAUAAUUCAAGAUUGACUUGUAUAAACACCAACGCUUUGGAAAACUACACACCGCCAGUUGCUUGGGACAAUCACAUUCAAAAUAAUUCAAGAUUGGCUUAUAUAAACACGAACGCUUUCGAAAACUACACACCGCCAGUUGCUUACAACCAACUGAAUAUUAAUUAUUAUUAUUAUUCGUCACACCGUUUACUCUUUUUUGACUUAUCAAUUUGCAGAAAUGGAAUUCGGGUUCAUCAUCCUAAUCUCAAUCGCCGUUGCUGCCCUUCUCAAAGCUUUCAUCGGCGUUAUCAUCUCCUCCAAAUACAAAACCAAUCUUCCUCCAGGCCCCUUCAAUGUCCCCCUCAUCGGCAACCUUCGGUGGCUUCUCAAAUCUUUCACCGAAAUCGAACCAAUCCUCAGAAACCUUCACUCCAAGCUUGGCCCCGUCUUCACGCUCUAUGUCGGCCCUCGCCCGGCUAUCUUUAUCGCCGAUCGCUCCCUGGCCCACAAGGCCUUGGUCCAAAACGGUGCCAUCUUUGCUGACAGACCCCCGCCUCUUCCCACAUGGAAAAUCAUCAGCAGCAACCAGCAUGACAUCACCUCUGCUUCUUACGGCACAACGUGGCGAGUCUUCCGCCGUAAUCUCUCCGCAGAGAUCCUCCAUCCCUCUCGUGUGAAAUCCUACAGGCACGCCCGCAAAUGGGUUCUUGAAAUUCUCUUGAAUCGUUUAAAGUCAGAGUCCAAAAAUGGGGACCGCCCUGUCCCCGUUCGUCUUCUUGAUCAUUUUCAAUACGCCAUGUUUUGCUUGUUGGUGCUCAUGUGUUUCGGAGACAAGCUUGAUGAAUCCCAAAUAAAAAAAAUUGAGAUCGUUCAGCGCAGACUGCUGUUGGCUGUU